AGGUUUGAUCCUGGCUCAGGAUGAACGCUAGCUAUAGGCUUAACACAUGCAAGUCGAGGGGAAACGACAUCGAAAGCUUGCUUUUGAUGGGCGUCGACCGGCGCACGGGUGAGUAACGCGUAUCCAACCUGCCCAUCACUUGGGGAUAACCUUGCGAAAGUAAGACUAAUACCCAAUGAUAUCUCUAGAAGACAUCUGAAGGAGAUUAAAGAUUUAUCGGUGAUGGAUGGGGAUGCGUCUGAUUAGCUUGUUGGCGGGGUAACGGCCCACCAAGGCGACGAUCAGUAGGGGUUCUGAGAGGAAGGUCCCCCACAUUGGAACUGAGACACGGUCCAAACUCCUACGGGAGGCAGCAGUGAGGAAUAUUGGUCAAUGGGCGAGAGCCUGAACCAGCCAAGUAGCGUGCAGGAUGACGGCCCUAUGGGUUGUAAACUGCUUUUAUAAGGGAAUAAAGUGAGUCUCGUGAGACUUUUUGCAUGUACCUUAUGAAUAAGGACCGGCUAAUUCCGUGCCAGCAGCCGCGGUAAUACGGAAGGUCCGGGCGUUAUCCGGAUUUAUUGGGUUUAAAGGGAGCGUAGGCCGGAGAUUAAGCGUGUUGUGAAAUGUAGACGCUCAACGUCUGCACUGCAGCGCGAACUGGUUUCCUUGAGUACGCACAAAGUGGGCGGAAUUCGUGGUGUAGCGGUGAAAUGCUUAGAUAUCACGAAGAACUCCGAUUGCGAAGGCAGCUCACUGGAGCGCAACUGACGCUGAAGCUCGAAAGUGCGGGUAUCGAACAGGAUUAGAUACCCUGGUAGUCCGCACGGUAAACGAUGGAUGCCCGCUGUUGGUCUGAAUAGGUCAGCGGCCAAGCGAAAGCAUUAAGCAUCCCACCUGGGGAGUACGCCGGCAACGGUGAAACUCAAAGGAAUUGACGG
rnacentral:rRNA from 1 species